rnacentral:rRNA from 1 species
UACGAAGGGGGCUAGCGUUGCUCGGAAUCACUGGGCGUAAAGCGCACGUAGGCGGCUUGUUAAGUCAGGGGUGAAAUCCUGGAGCUCAACUCCAGAACUGCCUUUGAUACUGGCAAGCUUGGAGUCCGGGAGAGGUGAGUGGAACUGCGAGUGUAGAGGUGAAAUUCGUAGAUAUUCGCAAGAACACCAGUGGCGAAGGCGGCUCACUGGUCCGGUACUGACGCUGAGGUGCGAAAGCGUGGGGAGCAAACAGG